AUAGAGAGGAGAGAAAAAUUAGAAUUCAAUGAAAAAAGAAGAGAGAGUGUGUGAGUUGAAGGAGAUAAAGUGAAAAUGAUGGGUUUGAAGUUUUAGGAGGAGUUGGUUUAUAUAGGGUUGAUGGAUUCAUCUAUGGAAAACACUUGUUCAUUGGCAUACAUGCAUGAUGCCACUUGUUUUUUCACUUCUAUACACAUGUCACAUGAAGCAAGUAAUAGAAGGAAGGUUGCAUGUGAUAGUUGACUUUGUGAAGCAAGUAGUGGCAAGAUAUAAUUGG
rnacentral:lncRNA from 1 species